rnacentral:rRNA from 1 species
UACGUAGGGGGCAAGCGUUGUCCGGAUUCAUUGGGCGUAAAGAGCGUGUAGGCGGCCUGGAAGGUCAGCUGUGAAAACUCGAGGCUCAACCUCGAGACGUCGGUUGAAACCGUAUGGCUAGAGUCCGGAAGAGGAGAGUGGAAUUCCCGGUGUAGCGGUGAAAUGCGCAGAUAUCGGGAAGAACACCCAUGGCGAAGGCAGCUCUCUGGGACGGUACUGACGCUGAGACGCGAAAGCGUGGGGAGCGAACAGG